rnacentral:lncRNA from 1 species
GUCAGAAAUCACAUUCUUUUUGCUCUCCCAUCAAAGCCAUGGCUUAUUUAGCAUUUCUCAGACUUUAUCUGACAAUGACUUACUCAAAAUUCAGCCAAGCUUGAGCUUUAAGGGUCUUGUUUCUGCUUUUAUUCCUUUCACAAGAAGGAUCCUGAUCCUGAAAACGACAGACAAAAAGGCAUCCAGGUUACUGGACACUGGAAGCAGAAUCCCCCAGGAAAAGCGAAGUCCUCAGGAAAAGCAGAAAUCCGGAAGCGGAGAAUGGAGGCAGUCCAGCUCCAGGAGUAAGUACUUAACAUAUAAUCAGAUCAA